rnacentral:rRNA from 1 species
GACGAACGCUGGCGGCGUGCUUAACACAUGCAAGUCGAGCGGUAAGGCCCUUUCGGGGGUACACGAGCGGCGAACGGGUGAGUAACACGUGAGUAACCUACCUUCAACUCUGGGAUAAGCUCGGGAAACCGGGUCUAAUACCGGAUAUCAUCUCUGCUCUCAUGGGUGGGGGUUGAAAGCUCUGGCGGUUGGGGAUGGGCUCGCGGUCUAUCAGCUUGUUGGUGGGGUAAUGGCCUACCAAGGCUUCGACGGGUAGCCGGCCUGAGAGGGCGACCGGCCACACUGGGACUGAGACACGGCCCAGACUCCUACGGGAGGCAGCAGUGGGGAAUAUUGCGCAAUGGGCGGAAGCCUGACGCAGCAACGCCGCGUGAGGGAUGACGGCCUUCGGGUUGUAAACCUCUUUCAGCAGGGACGAAGCGAGAGUGACGGUACCUGCAGAAGAAGGACCGGCCAACUACGUGCCAGCAGCCGCGGUAAUACGUAGGGUCCGAGCGUUGUCCGGAAUUAUUGGGCGUAAAGGGCUCGUAGGCGGUUCGUCGCGUCGGGAGUGAAAACUCGGAGCUCAACUCCGAGCCUGCUUCCGAUACGGGCGGACUAGAGGUAGGCAGGGGAGAGCGGAACUCCUGGUGUAGCGGUGGAAUGCGCAGAUAUCAGGAAGAACACCGGUGGCGAAGGCGGCUCUCUGGGCCUUACCUGACGCUGAGGAGCGAAAGCGUGGGUAGCGAACAGGAUUAGAUACCCUGGUAGUCCACGCCGUAAACGUUGGGCGCUAGGUGUG